rnacentral:rRNA from 1 species
AUUGAACGCUGGCGGCAUGCCUUACACAUGCAAGUCGAACGGUAACAGGUCUUCGGAUGCUGACGAGUGGCGAACGGGUGAGUAAUACAUCGGAACGUGCCUAGUAGUGGGGGAUAACUACUCGAAAGAGUGGCUAAUACCGCAUGAGAUCUACGGAUGAAAGCAGGGGAUCGCAAGACCUUGUGCUACUAGAGCGGCCGAUGGCAGAUUAGGUAGUUGGUGGGAUAAAAGCUUACCAAGCCGACGAUCUGUAGCUGGUCUGAGAGGACGAUCAGCCACACUGGGAUGGAGACCCGGCCCAGACUCCUACGGGAGGCAGCAGUGGGGAAUUUUGGACAAUGGGCGCAAGCCUGAUCCAGCAAUGCAGCGUGCAGGAUGAAGGCCUUCGGGUUGUAAACUGCUUUUGUACGGAACGAAAAGCCCUGGGUUAAUACCCUGGGGUCAUGACGGUACCGUAAGAAUAAGCACCGGCUAACUACGUGCCAGCAGCCGCAGUAACAC